GUGGGGAAUAUUGGACAAUGGGCGAAAGCCUGAUCCAGCCAUGCCGCGUGUGUGAAGAAGGUCUUCGGAUUGUAAAGCACUUUAAGUUGGGAGGAAGGGCAGUAAGUUAAUACCUUGCUGUUUUGACGUUACCAACAGAAUAAGCACCGGCUAACUUCGUGCCAGCAGCAGCGGUAAUACGAAGGGUGCAAGCGUUAAUCGGAAUUACUGGGCGUAAAGCGCGCGUAGGUGGUUCAGCAAGUUGGAGGUGAAAUCCCCGGGCGCAACCUGGGAACUGCCUCCAAAACUACUGAGCUAGAGUACGGUAGAGGGUAGUGGAAUUGCCUGUGUAGCGGUGAAAUGCGUAGAUAUAGGAAGGAACACCAGUGGCGAAGGCGACUACCUGGACUGAUACUGACACUGAGGUGCGAAAGCGUGGGGAGCAAACAGGAUUAGAUACCCGGGUAGUCC
rnacentral:rRNA from 1 species